rnacentral:rRNA from 1 species
CGUGUCGUGAGAUGUUGGGUUAAGUCCCGCAACGAGCGCAACCCUUGUCAUUAGUUGCUACGAAAGGGCACUCUAAUGAGACUGCCGGUGACAAACCGGAGGAAGGUGGGGAUGACGUCAAGUCCUCAUGGCCCUUAUGGGUAGGGCUUCACACGUCAUACAAUGGUCGGGACAGAGGGUCGCCAACCCGCGAGGGGGAGCCAAUCCCAGAAACCCGAUCGUAGUCCGGAUCGCAGUCUGCAACUCGACUGCGUGAAGUCGGAAUCGCUAGUAAUCGCGGAUCAGCAUGUCGCGGUGAAUACGUUCCCGGGUCUU